UUUAUGCCUUUGAGGAACUUGAACACUACAAGGAAGACAGUCCUGUCUCCACCCAGCAGGCCCCACAGUGAGGUGGGAUUAUGUGGCAGGUAGGGUGAGCUCAGUGUCCAAAACCUGCUGUCACCAGCAGGGAGAACUUGGGUCAACUUCUCAGCCAUUCUAAACUCCAGUUACCCACUGAAAAACGGGAUAACAAUCCAACUAAAUUCAGUUUUAUGAUGAGAAUCAAGUAAGAUCAACUAUCUCAAGAGAUGGAGCUCACCAGGUGCCUCUACUAAUCCUUUCAGAACCUGAAGCGAGCAUAGGCUCUACAGAGUCUAGGAUUUUUUUACCUUAAAAAACAGAGAGACAAAGAUGUGCUUAAUAAUGUAGACCUAAAAAGUGUGACUGUACUGCUUUUUCAGGGGAAAAUGAUGUGAUUCUGUGCCUUAGGGUUAGUGAAUGCUGGUUGAAUACAGAGAAAUAACCUGAGAACAUUUCAGGAUCCCAGAUCUGAUCCACUAUUAAAGGGAAGGAGGGUUGGAAGCAUGCUGCCUUUGAGGUGUUCCCCUCCUCACCUUCUUGGGAAUCUCAGCCAUGUGCCUACGGUAAUGACAUCCUGGUUUCCUCCAGUCUUGUGGGAAGAGAUUGUAGAGAAUUUCCUGCUGAGGGAAAUGAAAAGCCUAUAGCAUUGAGAUUCUUUCUCAGAAAUCCAGAAAAGAAAAAAGAGAAACUCAUACAUGAUGGUGGACUUUGAGCCCAGAUGGCUUGGAUUUGAAUCCCAGCUUGGACACUUACUAGCUGUGCAAUGAAGAAGUGAAAACUCAUGGGCCUAACAUCUUCCUGUGUAAGUGCUUGGACUCACUGGAACAGAUGGCUGGUGCUGUAACGGUUGGUGCUCUAUUAAUUUGCUCUUUCUACUCUUCUGGGAACACCCACUCAUGUGCCUGUCAGAAGCUGGGUCACCCUUCUGGGCUGAGUUCAUAUGACAUGUGCCCUGGAACCUUCCAAUCUGUGCUCCUGUGGCAUUUUGGACUUUGCUCACUAAAGUGCUGGUUACAAGGUUUUGCAAUUAACCAGAUAUGGACCCUGAGCUCUAUAAGAGCCCACAUCUCCAUGUGAUUUGUUGUAUGCUCCGUGACUUUCUCUUGAAGGAAUGAAUUGGAUUUUGCUUUGGUUUGAGCAAGUAGGGAAGUCAAGAAGGAAUGGACUUAAAACUUCAGAAGGGCCCAGACUGAGAAAACAUUUGACAGUGGAGAGCUUACUUCCGGUUUAUACUGAAGUAAGUAGCAGAAUGGGAAGAGAAAAAAGAGCAGGAUAUUUCUAGGAAAGCUUUUUAAAAUCCUUCUGUUCCUUAUAUCAUAGAUUUUUUCCCACAGACUUAGCAAAUAUUCACCAUGUGCCCACAACGAGCCAGGGACUGUGGAAGGUUCUGGAAAUGCAUUGAUGAACAAGAUAGCCAAGAUCCCUGACCAUAUUCAAUCAGUCUUUUGCCCUGCUCUACACAUAGAUGUAUUGUAUCCUCUUGUAAUCUGGUUCGACGCUAGGCAUAUUUCUCCAGAUUUAAGUAAAUAAAACUGCAACAUGACUGAAUCUUUCAUUUGGUCUUUGGCGCCUGCAGCAGAAUCUCUUG
rnacentral:lncRNA from 1 species